AACCAAAUUGUUCUUCAAAAAUCUUAGCCAAUGAGUCUGCUUCACAAGAUUGAUAGAGAAAAAGACAUUCGUCAAAGGUUCUAACCAGUGUCCAGUGAAGAGGGCAGGCCUCCUACAAAAAUUUUCCUUUUAAGCUCCUCAAUUGUACUUGAGUGCUGUGUCCUUGUUCCCUGCUUCAGCCGCCGAAGCUCAUCUUCCCCAUGUGCAUAGAAGCACUUAGCCCCUCGCACACAACCUCCUGGAGAUUCAAAGUAUCUGCAGAUUCCUGUCUUUGCGAUCGAGCAAGUUCUAGAGCUGUCAAGAUUUAGAAUCGAUGAGAUGUGGAAAAAAAAAAGGAUUCAGUUUUCACAACAUUCUCAUCUGAUUUGAAUGUGGAUGACUUUAACUAGGCUCAUCACCUCUCAGGAAGGGUGCCUUCUUCUGUCACGUUUGGGAGUGACUCACAGGUUUCUGAAAUCAUCUCAUGGUUAUGGAAGUAAGUAGUAAAUUUCCGUUGCAUGGGGAAAGCUCGGUGCCCUGCAUGUUAGAACAAGGCACAUGAGAUUGAAUGAACGAAGUCAUAAGGCUUAGAAUCAACUGGUUCUUUUUUUUUUUCCCCUGUUUUAUUCAUAUGUUCAAAUUUGAGAAGGAUAUUGUUAUUAGUUGAACUUACUAAGGCCAAUAUUGGUUGGACUUAGCAUGAACCGCAUCUCUUGCGACUUUGCCAAGUCAA